AUUCAGAGUACACGGAAUAGUGGUGGAAGCCGUGGUGUGGAACGUACUCCUCCGUAUGCAUGUACCUCUUUGUCAGUCAAUUCCAACAGAAUCACCUUGGCAAAAUCAAAUCACCUUGUCCUUUUUUCAAAUACAUCUUUCCAGAAACACCUUCCCUAACUCACCAGAAAAAGUCGGCGAUAUUCCGCCGGCGUCGGAGAAAUAUCCUCGACGACAGGCCAUUUUCACCGUCGACGAAGUCUUCAAAGAGAGCGAAAGUAGCAGCUCCUCCAUAACUCUUCGUCGGAGAAGAGUUGGAGUUCACCGUCGGCUGCGUACCACUGUUCGGGAGCACCGGAAGUAAUGUUUUCAUGAGGGAUGUUCCUAGUGUGGUGGCUUGUCUAAUAGAAGAACCUCCAGAGGCCAACAUUAUGAAAAUUUUCUUGCUGAAAAUCCUCCAACUUCAACGCCGGAGAAGGAAGAAAGACAAUUUUAAUCUUGGAGAAGGUUUGAUGCUAGUGAGUUUCAAGGUAGAGAUAGACGAGAAGUGUAAAAGUGUGAAAGAAUUGCGGGUUGCUGAUUAUGAUUGCAACGCAACGGGAAGAGUAGCACCUAUUGAUUCUUUAUUCUGGUGGCCUAUUUUGCUGCAAUCAUAUGAAAAAGGCACAAGAGAUUACUCACUGGUAGAUACGCCUGAAGUGCAAAAAGGCAUGAAAUGUAUCUGUGACCUGUGCCUCUCUGAUGGUUUUGACACUGUCCCAUCACUACUCUGUGCAGAUCCAUGCUGUAUGAUUGAUAAAGAAAUGGGUGCACUAGCAUGUCUAAUGAAAGAAACCCCAGAGACGUACAUUGUAGAAAAAUUAUCACUGAAAACCCUUCAACUUCAAGGCUGCCGAAAGAAGAGAGAUAACUUUACUCUUGGAGAAGGUGUAAUGCCAGCGAGCUUUAAGGUUGAAGUUGAAGAGAAGUAUGGUAGUGUGAAGGAAAUGUGGGUAGCUGAUUAUGGUGGCACCACGACUGGAAGAGUAGCACCUACUAAUUCUUGGUUCUGGUGGAUUAUUUUGCUGCAAUCAUACGACAAUUGCACAAGCGAUAACUCAUUGGCAGAUACACCUGAAAUGCAGAAAAGCAUGAAAUGGAUUGCUGACCUAUGCCUCUCUGACGGUUUUGACACUUUCCCAUCACUACUCUUUGCAGAUGCGUACUGUAUGACUGAUAGAAGGAAGGUUUUCGUGAUGGACUUUGACGUUGUGAAUAAAAUCUUGCUGAAAACCCUCCAAUUUCUAGCUCGCGGAAAGAAGAUAAAUAAUUUUAUUCUUAGAGAAGGUGUAAUGCCACUGAUGCCAACAAGGUUCAUGCUUGAGAUAGAUGAGAAGUGUGAACAUGGGAAGGAAAUGCUAGUUGCUGAAUAUGGUGGCACCACAACUGGAAGAGUAGCACUUAUGGAUUUUGGGUUCUGGUGGAUCAUUUUUCUGCAAUCUUAUGACAAACACACCAGAGAUUAUUCACUGGCAGAUAUCCCUGAAAUGCACAAAGGCAUGAAAUGGAUGGUUUUCACGAGGGACAUUGUGAUUGUGAAAAUUUUCUUGCUGAAAACCCUCCAUAUUCAAGGUUGUGAAAAUAUAGGUAACUUUACUCUUAGAGAAGGUGUUAUGCCAGCAAGCUUCAAGGUUGAGAUAGAUAAAGAGUGCCAAUGCGUGAAGGAAAUACUGGUAGCUGUUUGUGGUGGCACCGCAACUGGAACAGUGGCACCUACUGGUUUUGGGUUCUCGGUGAUUAUUCUGUUGCAAUCAUAUGAAAAACGCACAAGAGAUCAUCCACUGGAAGAUAUGCCUGAAGUGCAAAAAGGCAUGAAAUUGAUCCUUGACAUUUACCAGUUACUACUCAGUGCAGAUGCAAGUUGUAUUAUUGGUAGAAGGAUGGUAAUAUAUGGGUAUCCAAUUGAGAUUCAGACUCUAUUGUGUUUUGCAUAUAGAUGUGCUAAACACAUGUUGAAAGAUGUGCUUGAGAACAAAGAAUUGCUGGAUAAGAUCAAACCACUUAGUUACCAUAUUGGGACCUAUUACUGUCUUGAUUAUACCCAGCUGAGUAACAUAUACUUAUACGAAACAGAAGAAUACUCUCACACUGCUUUAAACAAGUUCAAUAUAACCCCGGAGUCAAUUCUGGAUUGGUUGUUUAAGUUCUUGUCCUUACGAGGUGGUUAUUUCAUCAGCAAUGCCAGCCCAGCCUGCAUGGACUUCAGGUGGUUCUUCCUUGGGAACUGCAUUGCAAUCUUAAGCAGUCGUGUGAUACCGAUACAAGCAUCAGCAUCAAUGGGCUGCAAAGAAUUUGACAGAAAACGCAGCUCUACCAUAACCAUUGAAGAUGCUACUGCCUCGUGGGAGAUUCAUGAGAGACUGUUUUUGGAGAUUGAAGGAAGCACCUGCAACAUGCAUACUGAAAGCAACGAUGUUAUUGGAAAUCAUCAGCAGCAUGUAGCAGGGCAUAUUAUAGUGGAGGAAGCUCGUUCUAAUGCUGAGGCUCUGAAAUAUCAUCCGGAGGUUCCCUUUCGCCAUGGUCGCCAUCUUUUGGAUCACUCGUCUUCCGAAUCGUCUUCCGUAUCCAAGGGUGUAUGGGAAGGCUUAGCAAUCUCCUCCCUUUCCCUAUUAGGAAUCAUUUUGCUGAUUAUUUUGUUAGUGCUCUUCUUUUAUUACCGUAGAAAGAAGAAGGGCAUUGUAGAUGUUGGUGUAGAUGUUGGUGUAGGCACUCAUCUAUACGAAGAGUUGGCGGAAGCAACUAAUCAGUUUGAUGAGAAUAGAGUAAUAGGGAGAGGGGGAUUUGGGGUGGUGUACAAGGGAGAACUUGCUGAGAUGGAGGUAGCAGUGAAAAGGAAGCGAGAAGAUAGCACCCAAGGGCUUAAUGAAUUUCAGGCUGAAAUUCAAUUAAUGCCGUAUCUUAAUCAUGCCAAUAUUGCUGAGAUUGUAGGACACUGUACUACUCAGACGGAAAAGCUUAUUGUAUAUCGCUAUUUUCCAAACAAAACAGUGUAUCAUCAUUUACAUGAUAAUAUUGAAUCAACAUUGAAUUGGAAGCGGAGAUGGGGAAUCGCGAAUGGCGUUGCAGAGGGGGUUGCCUACUUGCACAGUAGGGAGGGCAAACCUACAAUUAUCCAUCGUGAUCUAAAGUCUGAAAACAUUUUACUGACAAUCGAUUAUGAUCCUGUGAUUACUGAUUUCGGGCCUGCAAGACACAAAAUUGGUGUAUUUAACCACAUUUUUACAGAAGUAAAAGGAACUAUUGGGUAUCUUGAUGCCGAUUAUAUGCUUACAAGCAUUUUGAGAGUCGAGGCUGAUGUUUUUUCAUUCGGCAUUAUUCUUCUGGAACUUGUGUCGGGUCGUAAGCCGGUCGACGAGGAAAAUCCAUUUCCUGGCGGUCUUACAUUUUUGACUUGGGCAAAUAAUCUCAUUCGAGUUGCCUUUGAGAGUCAGGCAUCUCCGUCGCUGUUUAUCGAUUGCCGUUUAGAGCAAUUCGAUAAACAGCAGACAGAUGUGAUCAUCACCUGUGCUCUCUGCUGCACCCGUCAGAAUGUCGAAGAUCGUCCGACAAUGAGCCAGGUUGUGCAAGUCCUGAAGGGAGAAUUGGCUGUUGAUGUGAUUGUUGGGCCUGAUGGACUAUGGCCUCCAGCUCAGAUUCCUAGUAACUUGACAUUGGCAGAUUCUGACAGUUCAACAGAAGAGGUUAGCUAACUGGAUUGUGAAGAUAUGUCUGCAAUGUUCCAUGCCGUUUCAAGACCAGUUUCAGAGAGGGUACUCAAGUUGAAUAAAGGAAGCUAGGAGAAGCUGCAUCAGGUUAAAGGAAGUAAAAGCUUCAGAUUCAGAGGGGUUGAUUUUGGUACUUAGAGCAAUUACCUCCAUUUUUGGAAAGAAUCUGUAGAUAUUGAUUGUGAUCAAUACGAUACUACUACUGAAUUUUGUUUCCCUCUACAAUGUGGUAGCUUUAAUUUUUUAGAGGUUCAAUGAUGAGAUCAUUUCUAGUUCAUUUUUUAGAGGUUCAAUGAUGAGAUCAUUUUUUAGAUCUUCUAGAUUUUGAAUAUGCUGAUGUAUUUAGAUUUUAUCUCAACCUUUGUGCUCUAGAAUUAGAUGUGCUUACCUUAUAGCAGACAAAUUUACCUUUUAA